rnacentral:piRNA from 1 species
UAGCGAUUCUUUUUUCCUUCU